UGAAGUAUGGCCAAGUGGUAAGGCAUCCGUUUUUGGUACGGAAAAUCAAAGGU
rnacentral:tRNA from 1 species